UUCUCCCCCCAACUCUCAUCCCCGCUAGCCCGCAGGCCGCCUGCCCCUUUCCGCACCUCCUUUUCCCAUCCUGCGAGAGAAACCUAGCUCCCAGAGCCGGUGCAGUCAGUCCCCUCGCCCCUCCCGCCCCUGCGCGGGUCCCCCUCCAGCCGUCGCUGCAUCCACCAACUCGGUUCCACUCAAUCGAUUUUUGCUGCAUGUCAACACUUAUUACCGUUCACAGAUCUUCAGAUCAAGGAAUUCUACUCAAGGAGCUAUACUCAAGGAACCACACUCAAAAAGCCUUAUUCACAUCUGGGUCUGUUUGGAACAGCAAGAUUAUAGCCUUUGAGAUGAUGCUGUAAUGGAACAAGAUUUUUGAUGGCCUUGAGAAUAUAUCAUUCUGGGAGAAGACAGCCGUCAUAUAAUGUCAUGAAGAUACUCAUGCAGUCCUAUGGAGAAGUUCAUUGGUGAGAAACUGAGCUAGAAUAAACUUGACAGCCAUGUGAGUGAGCCAUCUUAGAAGCAGACCUUCAGCCUCAGACAGCUUUCAGAGGAUUGUAGCCCCAGCUGAAAUGUCAACCACAAUCUCAUGAGAGACACUGAACCAGAAUCACCCAGCCAAGCUGUUCCCAAAUUCCUGAGCCACACAGACUGUGUGAAAUAAUAAAUGUUUAUUG